UACAGAGGUGGCAAGCGUUGUUCGGAAUUACUGGGCGUAAAGGGCGCGUAGGUGGCCUUGUUAGUCAGACGUGAAAUCCCCAAGCUUAACUUGGGAACUGCGUCUGAUACUGCAAGGCUUGAGUUCGGGAGAGGGAUGUGGAAUUCCAGGUGUAGCGGUGAAAUGCGUAGAUAUCUGGAGGAACACCGGUGGCGAAGGCGGCAUCCUGGACCGAAACUGACACUGAGGCGCGAAAGCGUGGGGAGCAAACAGG
rnacentral:rRNA from 1 species